UUUUACUAUGAGAUUCCAUAUGAGAUUCACUCAGGCUUAAAAGAUUUACUUUAACCCCUGUAUCUAACUUAAAUGAAAUAAUGGUGCCAUUCAACAGCAAGUGUGCAAUCUACACUCACCUAAAGGAUUAUUAGGAACACCAUACUAAUGCUGUGUUUGACCCCCUUUCGCCUUCAGAACUGCCUUAAUUCUACGUGGCAUUGAUUCAACAAGGUGCUGAAAGCAUUCUUUAGAAAUGUUGGCCCAUAUUGAUAGGAUAGCAUCUUGCAGUUGAUGGAGAUUUGUGGGAUGCACAUCCAGGGCACGAAGCUCCCGUUCCACUACAUCCCAAAGAUGCUCUAUUGGGGUGAGAUCUGGUGACUGUGGGGGCCAUUUCAGUACAAUUAACUCAUUGUCAUGUUCAAGAAACCAAUUUGAAAUGAUUCAAGCUUUGUGACAUGGUGCAUUAUCCUGCUGGAAGUAGCCAUCAGAGGAUGGGGACAUGGUCAGAAACAAUGCUCAGGUAGGCCGUGGCAUUUAAACGAUGCCCAACUGGCACUAAGUGGCCUAAAGUGUGCCAAGAAAACAUCCCCCACACAAUUACACCACCAACACCAGCCUGCACAGUGGUAACAAGGCAUGAUGGAUCCAUGUUCUCAUUCUGUUUACGCCAAAUUCUGACUCUACCAUCUGAAUGUCUCAACAGAAAUCGAGACUCAUCAGACCAGGCAACAUUCUUCCAGUCUUCAACUGUCCAAUUUUGGGAGAUUGAUGGACCAGGAUAAGAAGCGUGAAGAACCCGUGCCCAAUACAGUAAAUGUUGAUCAUCCUGUAGCUGGUCUAUAGGCACCGUUGGAGGUGCAACAGGCAAUAAUGUCCAGCAGAGCCAUUAGCCAGUAACCACCAACCCUUCUGUAUAAUCUAUGGAGGCUGACCGUGUAAACUUAAUUUACACAAAAUAUAUGAUCUUGAUCUUCUCUCCUCCUGUAACUAUUCCCCAGGUUGACGCUCUAAAUGAGAAUUGGUUCCCAGGCAACUAACCUGGUAAAAUAAAGGCUAGAUAAAAUCUAAAUGUUGAAAUCUACAUUUUAAUAUCUGAAGUCGAAUCAUUUUCUGUUGAUCUGUUUUCCUAUAUGAAGACAUUAAUCCAAUGACAGAAAGGUACACGGAUCCAAAACACAUGUAUGCCUGGACCUGUCCUCCUCAGUUUACGGCUUCCAGUGCCUCUAUAGUUCCAUCCAAUGUUUUCAUCCUCUUUAUUUUACAAUAAAUGCUUUUCCAGUCUGGAUGCAUCUUGUCCCGUAGUUGGAUACAG
ensembl:lncRNA